GCAUCGAUGGUUCAGUGGUAGAAGGCUCGCCUGCUACGCGGGCGGCCCGGGUUCGAUUCCCGGUCGUUGCA
rnacentral:tRNA from 1 species